rnacentral:rRNA from 1 species
AGAAAUUUACGAAUGAAAUUUCGAUGGAUUUUGUAAAUGGAAAGCGGCGGACGGGUGAGUAACGCGUAGGUAACCUGCCCCAUACAGAGGGAUAGCCACUGGAAACGGUGAUUAAUACCUCAUAAAACUGAGAAUACACAUGUAUAUUCAGCCAAAGAUUUAUCGGUAUGGGAUGGACCUGCGUCUGAUUAGUUAGUUGGUGAGGUAACGGCUCACCAAGGCGACGAUCAGUAGCCGACCUGAGAGGGUGAUCGGCCACAUUGGAACUGAGACACGGUCCAAACUCCUACGGGAGGCAGCAGUGGGGAAUAUUGCACAAUGGGCGAAAGCCUGAUGCAGCAACGCCGCGUGAACGAAGAAGGCUCUUGGGUCGUAAAGUUCUGUUCUGAGGGAAGAAGAAAGUGACGGUACCUCAGGAGAAAGCCCCGGCUAACUACGUGCCAGCAGCCGCGGUAAUACGUAGGGGGCAAGCGUUGUCCGGAAUUAUUGGGCGUAAAGAGUACGUAGGCGGUUUGUUAAGCGCAAGGUGAAAGGCAUAGGCUCAACCAAUGUGAGCCUUGCGAACUGGCAGACUUGAGUGCAGGAGAGGAAAGCGGAAUUCCUAGUGUAGCGGUGAAAUGCGUAGAUAUUAGGAGGAACACCAGUGGCGAAGGCG